UCACAAGAUGGAAAUGGUGAAUUCGAGGAUUGAGAGCUGAGAACCUUGAGGUCCAAUAACUGUGAACUGGAAGGUAUGCUGUCUGUUGGGGAGAAAUCCCCAUAUGAGUACCUGACUUUGCAUUGGGAAGGGAAAGAAUGCCUUCUUGUCUUCAUGGUUCUUGCCCUUUUCCUGUCACACCAAAGCCAACUCUCAGGUCAUGUGCACACUUAUAAAGAAAAUCCAUUUUUUACAGAAAACAAAAAGGCCUUAGAAGACAAGUGUAAUGCAUUGAGGUCUGUGAAAGCAAUCAAGGAAGCAAAAGUCAAACAGCUGAAGGAGAAAGCACAUAUCCUUGAAGAAUUCUAUAAACAAAGAAGAGUGGCUGCAGAAGAACUGGAUGUUAUGGAAGGAAAGAGGCUGCCUGAGGGACACAUGAGACAGAAACCAAUGCCUGGAAGACCAAAGAUGCAGAACCCUCCAAGGAGAGGUAAGGAGCACAUUGUGACAUGCACUGGCCUAAUUUCUGCUGCAAAGCCUGUUCCUUUCAGUGAUCAUUGUGUGGCCUGGACAGAACCACAAGCACUACCUAAGGAUAGCAGGUGGUCUGAAGGGGUGACAGGAGGGUGUUCUCCUCUGGUGCCCUAG
rnacentral:lncRNA from 1 species